GCCCACUCCCCGCCCCAUCCCCCCCGCAUCCCGCCUUAGCCCCGAGCAGGCCCCCCCCCUCCUCCUCGCACCCGGCCCAGCCCCGUCCCUGCGGGGGUCCCUGUACCCACCAUUACACUGCGCCUCACUCGGCCGCGCCCCCCGGCCCUGCGCCCCCUCGGGACGGGCAGUCCGCGGGCGGCGCGGGCCACGUGCUGGGGUCUGUGCCGUCACUCAUUGUGCUGCAGCCAAUGGGCGGCGCCGGCGCCAGGCCGCCGCCCCGAGGUGCGCACCCCCACGCCCAGAGGGGCGCAGCAGCCGGGGGCCCAGGCACCGCCGGGGGAGGGAGCGCUGCGGCUAACGUCGGCUCCAGCGACCGCCAGAGGUACGCCCCAGACGGAGGGACGCCGCCUGCGGGGGGUGACGCCCGGAGGGACAGGGCUGCGGGCGGGGGCGGGCUGCGGGUGGGGCGGCGGCAGGGCUGUGCGGGCGCUGCCAGGCCGAGAGGGAAAUGACAGGCGACACGGUGAUCGUCCUCAAACUCAGGCCGGCGAGCACAUGGGGUGCGCGCGCAGUCGUCGACGGAGCAGCCCCCCCGCGGGCGCGACAGCCGAGCGGCGCUGCCCCCCCGCACUCCGAGACCGCGGGCCCAGGGGCGCUGGCCGCGAAUUCGGCACCGCGGGGCACACGCCCCAAGGCCUGCCUUACCCGGACGGGAGGACAAGCGGGGACGCCCAGCACUCAAGGCUGACGCUCAGAGGCACUCGGAGCUCCCCGAUCCUCAGCUCCCAGCGAGGCCAACCGUGGGUCCCAAUUCCGGGCUGCAGGGCCGCGCUCCUCCACGCCGGCCUCCCUUGCACGUGGGAAACGCAGAGAGCCUGGGAAUUCCACUGACGCUGGCAUCUGUGAGCCGCACAAUGAAACCCCGUGUCUGAUUUCCUGCCCUGAGCCCUUGAGGGAGAGGGAGUUAGAGGAUUUGGGGGGCUGCGGUGCAGGGGCGCUGCUGGUCCUACUGUGAGCCAAGCGGACAGGGAAGGACCCUGAGCUCGUCCCGCCUCGCCGCGCUGUCGGGGCGCCCCGGGCACCUCGCACACCCCGACCUCGCAGCCGUAGUGAGCACCACGGGCAGGGGAGCACCCGCCCGCCCCCGGCUCCCCGCGCCGGGGGGCCUGGAGCCUGCCGCCUGGGGGGUCCCUGCCGCCCGCCCGGGAGUCUCACCCCCCCAAGGGCAAGGGCGGAGCCGCCCCCAGGAUCCAUCCCGGCGGUCCGGCUCGGGGCCCACGCCGGUUCAGUCCCCAAUCAGGCGGCAGGAGUCAGCAUUCUAGAAACAGUCCCUCCGCGGAGGGAACUGCAGGCGAGCAGCAGGGUCCUCGGCCUGACGGCGGGGACUGCGGGGACGGGCGGCCCGGAGCCCCCCGGAGCCCCGGGGCUGUGGGAGGAACCUGAGGCCCAGGGCGAGGGCAGGAGGGGGGGCUGGCCUCCGAAGCGAGGGCCCUGGACUCGUGGGGGGACUGCUGUCGCCCGCGGGGAAGGAGGAAGCCACAUGACCCUCCAAGGGGGGACCCCGCGCAGGAGGGGGCUGCUGAGGCCCCGGCUUCCCGCCGCUGGGCCUGGCCUGGGCGCCCCACCUCUGCUGUACCCCCGCCCCCCGCUGCCAUUCCUGCUGCAAUGACUGUGGUUCUUAGGCCUCGUGUGCUUUCCCACACCUGCCUGGACGCUCCCCUGUGUUUGAAGGAAGCCCCGCACCCAGCCUGGGGCUGGGACGCCCCACCCCGACACCCAGGGGUGCGGCCCUGGCGACCGGCCGCCCAGCUGCGCCUGGCCUGGGCCCCUCGGAUGUCGGCUCUUCCCGUGACGCCUUGCCCUGGGUCCUCGGGUCCGUGUAGCUCAGGGGCUGGUGGCCACGUGCGGAGCGAGUGGCUUUCUACCCCAGUAGUGCAAACCGUGUGUAAAUACCUGUGAGCACCCUCCGUGAGCUCAGCAGGAUUCAAAGGUCAGUCCCUGAGGUGCAGCCCCCUACACACACGCGCAC
rnacentral:lncRNA from 1 species